GAUCUGGUUCAGGAUGAACGCUGGCGGCGUGCCUAAUACAUGCAAGUCGAACGAGAGUGCUUGCACUCUAGUGGCGAACGGGUGAGUAACACGUAGGUAACCUGCCUUACAGUUGGGAUACCCUGGCGAAAGCUAGGCUAAUACCGAAUAAUUGGAUUGGAGGCAUCUCCGAUCUCUAAAAGGGGCCUUUAAAGCCUCGCUGAAUGAUGGACCUGCGGCGCAUUAGCUAGUUGGUGAGAUAACAGCCCACCAAGGCGAGGAUGCGUAGCCGACCUGAGAGGGUGAACGGCCACACUGGAACUGAGACACGGUCCAGACUCCUACGGGAGGCAGCAGUAGGGAGUUUUCGGCAAUGGGGGCAACCCUGACCGAGCAACGCCGCGUGAAUGAUGAAAGGUCUUCGGAUUGUAAAGUUCUGUUAUAAGGGAAAAAUGAUAUGGUGAGGAAAUGCUCCAUAUUUGAUGGUACCUUAUUAGAAAGCCACGGCUAACUACGUGCCAGCAGCCGC
rnacentral:rRNA from 1 species